GACGAACGCUGGCGGCGUGCUUAACACAUGCAAGUCGAACGGGCCCGCUCUCUUUUUUGGGGGUGGGUUGAGUGGCGAACGGGUGAGUAUCACGUGAGUAACCUGCCCCCUGCUCCUGGAUAACUGCUUGAAAGGGCGGCUAAUACGGGGUGUGCCGCCUGGUCCGCAUGGGCCUGGUCGGGAUAGUUUCAUCUUCGGGUGUUUCGGUGGGGGAUGGGCUCGCGGCCUAUCAGCUUGUUGGUGGGGUGAUGGCCCACCAAGGCGGUGACGGGUAGCCGGCCUGAGAGGGUGGGCGGCCACACUGGGACUGAGACACGGCCCAGACUCCUGCGGGAGGCAGCAGUGGGGGGUAUUGCACAAUGGGCGGAAGCCUGAUGCAGCGACGUCGCGUGAGGGAUGGAGGCCUUCGGGUUGUGAACCUCUUUCUCCGGUGGUGAAGGCCCUGUCCGUUGCGGCGGGGUUGACGGUAGCCGGGUAUGAAGCGCCGGCUAACUACGUG
rnacentral:rRNA from 1 species